GGCGCUGUUUAUCGAAAGUGUACGUGCUACCUUGGUACGUGCAUAUGCAUUGUGGAAGAGUUCGUUCAAUUUUGCUUCAAAAAAACUGCUUAUUCCUGGAAUUGUUUGUGGGGUUAGACAGCCUUUUGUGUGAGUGGAGAGGUAGCCAAAUGAUGGAUUGAGGUCGAUGAUCGCCAUUUGAUGUCAUAACGAAGGAAUGUUUUGGCUCCAUUGGCAAGAAGGGGUCACAUGACAAGGUGUUCAAAAGGUAGUGGUGUUGCUGGUGGGUUGAUGUCACGGUUGUCGUCUUUCAAAUAUGCAUGAUGUCACCCACAUCGGUUGGUCACAGCUGGCUGAAGGCAAGAGUCGAUCGCACAGAUGUCCAGAAGGGUCAGGGAAGAACUCAAACUGGAACCCACCUUGAAUGGAGAAAAAAAAGAAAACAGUUUCUCAUUCACUAAAAACUGCGAUCUCUGUAAACCAACUGUGAUUUCAUAAAGAGCUUUGAACACUCAACAUAUGCAGCUGUAGCUUACAGUCUUUGAAAUUUGGGGAGUUGUAUUUCUUGGAUAGGUAAGAUACCUCAUAUGUUUUAGAUGAUCAUGAGCCAGUUUUUUUCAUUGGUAAUUCACCAACACCAGGAUCAUCCAUAUGUACGUGUAGGCCUAUGCAGUGUUGACUGUACACUUGAUCUUAACUGCCACAUGCUGGAUAGGCAAGUAGGAAAAAGGAUCGCGACACACUUUAAAUUUGCUAGUGGGUGUUUGCCCGAAUUUAGAGAUGCCUUGCAUAAUAUAAGUAAUACUAAUUAAAUGUAGCAUUUAUUUUUGGUUGAUAUUUAACAUUUAAUUUUGGUCUUCUCCGUAUUGGAAGUCGGUAAACAAGUUCCUGAAGGAAGGCAUUGUCAACUUGCAAUACCUAGGGAAGUUGAUACAUGUACUGACAAAAUGAUGUGAAUUUGUAGGACACGACACUUGAAUCCAUAGUAAUGUUUUUUGAUCAGUGUGUUUGAAUUAAAGAAAUAAAACGAGGAACAACAA